AGAUUUAUGAAUAAAGUAUAUUUUUGAAAAAAAAAAAGGAGGUUCUCCCGGGAUGAGGCUAGCCCAUUGCACUUCGGGUGUGCUGACGCGUGCGAUGUCCCCAAAUGCGGGAUACUCGACUGCAAAAUUUGUGGUAGUGGGGGACUGCGUUCGCGCUCUCCCCUG